UACGAGAGGCCCAAACGUUAUUCGGAAUUACUGGGCUUAAAGAGUUCGUAGGCGGCAUGACAAGUAGGGUGUGAAAGCCCCGGGCUUAACCUGGGAAUGGCAUUUGGGACUGCAAGGCUUGAGUGCGGCAGAGGAGACUGGAAUUCCUGGUGUAGCAGUGAAAUGCGUAGAUAUCAGGAGGAAUACCGAUGGCGAAGGCAGGUCUCUGGGCUGACACUGACGCUCAUGCACGAAAGCGUGGGGAGCAAACAGG
rnacentral:rRNA from 1 species